CAACUUCCUUUGGCAUGCAAUACUCCACAGUCUCGGCCUAUUGCUGCACUGUGACCGCACUUGCACCCACAUGAUGCACCAUGGGAACGACGUUCCAAGGACAGCCGGAGGGUAUGCCACGCCCCAGUUCAAUCAGGUACUAGGCUUCCCCAUCCCAUACUAGGUAUGAGAUUAGUACUUUCAAACACUUGAUCACGAACGCCGACACGUUUCGACCUUAGUCCAUUUUCAUUUUGACAGACGGGGCAAUCCACCAAGUAUCAAACAUAAGCCUGACCCCGUCCGUCGUCCUUAUAGUUGCGACAUAAUUGAACAUUCAACUCCUAUAACUCGCGAGUGAUAGGAAAUCACUCGACUUUUACCGAAACCUAUUAAGCACUACACUACUCGACCUUAGCGACUAGUAUUCAGACAAGGUACUAAGUUUAUGCAUCUAAGGUUUCAUUACAACUCCUGGAAACGUAAAUGUGC
rnacentral:lncRNA from 1 species